rnacentral:rRNA from 1 species
CAGAGGGUGCAAACGUUGUUCGGAAUCACUGGGCGUAAAGCGCGUGUAGGCGGCAGUGCAAGUCGGAUGUGAAAUCCCGCGGCUCAACCGUGGAAGUGCACCCGAAACUGCACAGCUCGAGUGUCGGAGAGGAAGGUGGAAUGCUUGGUGUAGAGGUGAAAUUCGUAGAUAUCAAGCGGAACACCGGUGGCGAAGGCGGCCUUCUGGACGACGACUGACGCUGAGACGCGGAAGCGUGGGUAGCAAACAGGAUUAGAUACCCUGGUAGUCCACGCCGUAAACGAUGAGUGCUAGGUGUCAGAAGCUUUGACCCUUCUGGUGCCGAAGCUAACGCGUUAAGCACUCCGCCUGGGGAGUACGGUCGCAAGACUA